rnacentral:lncRNA from 10 species
CACCAGGCUCCAGGGACACUGCUACUAGGUGGCCUGUCCUUGGCUCUGAUGCAGGCGCUUCCAGGAAGAAUGGGCUGCAGCUCUGUGCAGCCUGCCUGUGCUGGGCCAAUGUCAGCUCCCCUUGCUCGAACAGGAUUGGCCAGAACACGCCCUGUGCCUGCGAGCAGCCUUGAAUGCCACUGGGGAUUUGAGGUUUAGGCGUCCCGUUCCUUGAGCAGGAACCUCUGCAGAAAGGCAAUUAGAAGAACAAAGUGCCCUCUCCCUGACGGUCUGUCUCCCUCACACCAAAAAGGAAGGUGAAGCUUCCUUUUUAAGGAGACCCCUUUUUAAGAACCACGGGGUAGCUGUGGUGGUUCACGUCUAUAAUCCCAGUGCUUUAGGAGACCACAGUGGGAGGAUCACUUGAGCCCAGGAGUUUGGAACCAGCCUUGGCAACAGGGGUUGGAGGCUGCAGUGAGCUAUGAUCAUGCCACUGCACUCCACCCUGGGCAACAUAGUGAGACCCCAUCUCUACAAAUGAUAUAAAAGGCACCUGGGGGUGGUGGUGCGUGCCUGUGGUCCCAGCUAUUCAGAAGCCUGAGGCAGGAGGAUCGCUUGAAUCCAGGAGUUCAAAGCUGCAGUGAACUGUGAUUGUGCCAUUGCACUCCAGCCUGGGCACCAGAGCGAGACCCUGUCUCUUAAAAAAAAAGAAGAAGAAGAAACAUGUAUGAGAUAGAGCGCUGCAAAUCUGGUUCCAACUUUCUCUGUGAUUUUGCUGGAAUUUGUUCAACACUGAGCUCACAGACAGCAGUGAACCAAAACUUGUUUUCUUUGGACUGCUUUGAGCAAAAAUAGAAGAAAGGGGCUCAUUUUUUUCCAGUGAUUUUUUAUUUUUCAUCAAUAGUGCAGAUCCAAAUUUACAGGAACAUAACAUUUGAUGCCAAUGAAAUUCAUUAGAAUUCUGCGCUAUCCUGUGAACUGCGUGCCCAUCUGUCUUGUAUGUGUUUCCAGGGGUGGCUUACAAUGGUCUUCGCCAUGUACUGGAUGGACGUGUACUUAUUAUGAAUCCUCACACCCUGAGACCCAAGAGGAUCCCUCGUAAAACAAGGCCAUAUCUGAUUUGGAUUAAAAUCCCCACGGAGAACCUGAUGUCACCCAGGAAAGUGCACGUCUCCUUGCGUGCUCUUGAGAAACGGUUGAGAAAACAGUCCUUCCAGCUCAGUAAAUACCAUUUUCUUUCUGUCUGCUCACCACCCUUGCAUUUGCAAUAAACCUGACAAAAACUUCCAGAGCGAAAAUAAGAAUGUUCAUAUUUGAAGGAGAUGUUGGCAGACGGCCACAGACUUCAAGUACGCAAGCUCAUUCCGCUCUUGCUUUUCUGCCAAUAACUCCUUGGCCUCCGCGCACUCUGCACAGGCGGGGCCUGAGGACGGAUCAUGAUCGUGUCCGAUGAUCACGGACCCGCCGGAGACUCUCAAUGGAGAGGCGAUGAGUCACAGCCAAGCGAACUUUCUCUGCUCCUGAACAAAUUGCUUCUCCUCGUCGUCCCACUCCAAACCUAGAGGUGGGACAACCCCAGCAUCCUGGGCGUGAACGCACCCAGCUUGAUUGUCACAUGGGGAAUAGAGACCUCGCGCCUGCCUGGCAUAGGCCAACCCAGUAAUGUUCAUUUAAAGCUGGCUUUACUAGUCCUUCUUCCACAAUGAGAGGUGACCCUUCACUUCACCGAGAAAGGAAGGAAGAAAGGGAGAAACAGGAAAACUUUGAAGAAUCUUCCAGAUUUGCCUAACGCAGAUGUGCAUGACCUGACAAGAUAGAUGUGCCAUUUGGACCCUUUCAAGAGCAGACAGAAUGGAAGGGAGGCUGGAGUGCAAUGGUGUGAUCUCUGCUCCUGCAACCUGCGCCUCCUGAGUUCAAGCGAUUCUCCUGCCUCAGCCUCCCAAGUUGCUGGGAUUACAGGGGCCCGCCACCACGCCCAGCUAAUUUUUGUUAUUUUCAGUAGAGAUGGGGUUUCAUCAUGUUGGCCAGGCUAGUCUUGAACUCCUGACCUCAGGCGAUCCGCCCGCCUCGGCCUCCCAAAGUGCUGGGAUUACAGGUGUGAGCCACUGCACCUGCCCAAGGACUAAGGUUUUCUAUUUCUUAUUGUGUCAGUUAGGUUGUAUUUUUCUGUGAAUCUGUUCAUUUCACCAAAUUUUCAAGUUUGUUGGCUUAAAGUUUUCGAUAAUAUACUCUUAUUUUGUGGUGAAGUCCCUUUUUUAUUUCUUGUAUUUGUUAUUUGUGCCUUCUUUUCUUUUUUUUUUUUCCUUUUCUUUUUUAUGAGAUAGAGUUUCACUCUUGUCGCCCAAGCUGGAGUGCAAUGGCGCGAUCUCAGCUCACUGAAACCUCUGCCUCCCGGGUUCAAGCGAUUCUCCUGCCUCAGCCUCCUGAGUGGCUGGGAUUAUAGGCACCCAUCACCACGCCCAGCUAAUUUUUUGUAUUUUUAGUAGAAAUGGGGUUUCACCAUGUUAGCCAGGCUGGUGCCAAACUCCUGAUUUCAGGUGAUCCGCCCGCCUCAGCCUCCCAAAGUGCUGGGAUUACAGGCGUGAGCCACCACGCCCAGCCUUUUCCUUUUCUAUUUUCUUUUUCUUUUCACAGAUGCCUUUUGUGAAAACUGUCAAAUUGUUUCCUUUUAAUCAUUCUCUUUAGGGAUUAACCAAUUUUAUUAGUGGUUUCAGUUUUGGCUUUGUUGAUUCUCUCCGUUGUGUGUUUGUUUUUAUACUUAUUAUACAUUGAAAUCAUUUCCUCCUGUCUACUUUAUUAUAUAUUUAAAUCAUUUCCUCCUGUCUAUUUUUGUUGGGUUUCUUUAGUUGUUCUUUUCCUGACAUCUUAAAAUGAAUGUGCUUAGCUCAUUAUAUUUUAAGUCUUUCUUCUUCCCUAAAAUAUGCAAUUAAGGCUAUAAAUUUCCCCCCAAACACUGCAUUAGCUUUACUCCAUAAGUUUUGUUGUAUUUUGUUUUUCAUUACAUAUAGUAUAGUUCAAAGUAAUUUCAAAUUUCCGUUUUUAUUUGUUCUGAAACCCAUGCAUUAUUUAGAAGUAUAUUUUAGAAGCACGUUACUCGAAAGUAUAGUUUUCAAAGGUACAGGGACUUUUUAAUAUUUUUAUUAUCGAUUCUUAAACUAUUUGCAAUAUGUUAGGAUAACAUUAUCUGCUGUAUUUUAAUCCUUUGAAAUGUGUUGAAACUUGCGUUUUGGCCCAGCAGAUCAUCGUAUUUUAAAAUGGAUGAUAUCUUUUUGAAAAUAACAUAUUUUUCACUUGUUGGGUGCACAGUUCUCCAUAUGUUCAUACAACAAGAUUGUUCAUUAUGAUGUCUCAAAUCUUCUACAGUGUUAUUGAUUUAUUGUCUGCCUGUUCCAUUGAUUACUGAAAAAGCUGUGUCAAACAUCCCACUAUGAAUAUGGACUUGUCUGUUUCUCCAUAUAAUUCUGUUCACAUUGCUCUAUGUAUCAUGUAAUUAGGUACAUACAAAUUUAAAAUAAUCUUUUAUUAUUAUAGGGUGACCCUCCUUAAUUCUAGAGACGCUUUUUUUUUUUUUUUUCAUUUUAAAGUACAUUUGCUUGACAUUGGAAUUUACUACACUGGCUGUCCUAAUAGUAUUUCAAUAGUGUAUACUUCUUUAUUAUUUUCCUUUCAGUCUUGCUUUAUCUCUAAGUAUUACACGUGUUUCUUGUAUUUAAUAUUUGUUGGAUUUGGUGUCUAUCCAGUAUGACAAUCUUUGUCUUUUAGCUGGAGCAUUUAACCCACUUACCAUUCAUGUAAUUACUGAUAUGCAGUUUGCCAUGAAUGGGCUUUCUAUUCAUC